rnacentral:rRNA from 1 species
CACGUAGGGUGCAAGCGUUGUCCGGAAUUAUUGGGCGUAAAGGGCUCGUAGGCGGUCCGUCACGUCGGGAGUGAAAACUCGGGGCUCAACCCCGAGCCUGCUUUCGAUACGGGCGGACUAGAGGUAGGUAGGGGAGAACGGAAUUCCUGGUGUAGCGGUGGAAUGCGCAGAUAUCAGGAGGAACACCGGUGGCGAAGGCGGUUCUCUGGGCAUUACCUGACGCUGAGGCGCGAAAGCCAGGGGAGCGAACGGG